GAGAAGGGGGGGGGGAGAUGAAGGCUUUUUAUUUAUAUUUUUUUUUUUAGAAUUGUGAUUUAGACCCAAUGAGUUUGAGCAGUUUUAAGCCGUGUAAACGCUUUUCUAUUUAUUGCUUUGCCGAGAUGAUGAUUGAGCUGUGAUAAUGUACCACGCUUGCUUUGUUUCGAUGUGAACUGAUCUACUGACCGAACAUGGUGUGGAUAUUCACGUAUUUGCUGGACUGUGAAACAAAACAAAGUGCUGUGUAAAUUUGUGGCAUUGCAUUUUAAUGUCAUGAGUGACAUGUCACAAUGACAUUUAUCAACAAGGGGAAAUACUGUUAGUUUGUUCAAUGAUUUAGAACAUCGCCUGGGGCAGUACUGUUCGCACGGACGUCACAGCCAGAGGUAAAUUAAGAGAGUCAUGUCUGCAGGUCUAACUCGUUGGAAGUAGCCCAGGAGCAUUGGAAGAUGAGAGUAGAGUGCGCCAAGUUCUUUGGUAGACUCCGACUCCUUGCGGUUUGGACAAUCGCUGUCGGACUCUCGUAUCUGACGGUGAACGUACUGGCGAUGGAGCAAGAAGUGACCAUGGUCCGAAUAGGAGUGUUGCCCUCCUGGUCAAAUGUUAUAGGCGCGGCCCAGAGACACAACAACAGUGACAUGAGCUCCCAGUUCAUCCUCGUAGACCUGAACAUUAUCAACGCCAAGACUCUGUAUGAGAAAAUAGACAAAGUAUACAAGACUAUCAAAGCCAGCAAUGUCCAUGUGGUCAUAGGGCCCUACGAUUCAGCCUAUCAGCUGGCUACUGAGUCGUUACAAAUUCCAUACCUAAGUACUUCUGCUGUAGCUAAAAAUGCACAAAAUGAGUAUACAUUCCAGGUUCUUCCAGAAAUGAAAUGGUCAGCUGAUGCAAUUCUGGACAUCGUCCAAGCCUAUGGCUGGUCCAGGAUAAGUUUGUUUUAUGACGAUGAAAAGGGUAUUAGUGUCUUAGAAAGACUGAUGACCAAUCACUCCAUGACGGUGAAGGCGUGGCGGCUACCUAAUAAAGCAUCCAACGGGCAGAGGCAGAGUAUUAGAGAUGCUCUUGUGGAGAUGCGCAAAGUGCUGAUUGAGACGACAGUCGUAUUGUGCAGCAAGGAGACAGUAAACAUCCUGUUAGACCAGGCGCGAGAUUUGGCAAUGUUGUCCAUACCUCCAUACGGAUGGCUGUUUUAUGACCCGGGAGACGAUAUUAAAAUUCUCUUCGAAAGCUAUAGAGACAUCUCUUGUAACUUCACGGUACUGACGCUCUUGCCGUUCAACUUUUCCCUGCCAUCCGGGUCUCAGUCCCGAUUGAACUACUCCCUAGCAAGUGAUGCCCUGAAGCUGGUCUCUUCAGCCUACAACAUCAUCGCAGAGAACACGCAGGCAUCGAACAAUUCCUUGACAGAUAUCUCGCUGAAAUUCUGGAUGAACCGUGUCUUGAGAAAUAGCAAUGUCACUGGAUUGACGGGAAUGUUACAAUUCAAUGCACAUGGCAGACGAAACAACUUUUAUCUGACCUUGACCUCUUUCACUGGCGUCGAGAAUUAUCUGAGAGGCUACUGGUAUUCUGAACCUUAUGUGAUGGACCUACAGCUCAAAUUUUUCGAUAUACAAUACGCCGUCAAUAUUACCUCGCCAUUCCCAUUGAAAGGUAGAAAAGCCCAGGUUGUGAUGAUAGAGGAAAAACCUUUCACUUCGCUCAAGCGUGACCACAUGUUGUUGAAAGGCAAUAACAGAUUUGAAGGUUUUGCUGUUGAGCUCAUAGCAGAUAUUGCAGAGAUGUUGGACUUUGAAUAUGAGAUCUACCUCGUGAAUGAUGGGAAAUUUGGAAACAAACUGCCCAACGGAGAGUGGAAUGGGAUGAUAGGAGAGUUACUGGCUGGGAAUGCCACCAUGUCUGUAGCCCCAUUGUCUAUCAACGCCCAGAGAGAAGAAGCCAUUGACUUUACGAAACCUUUUAAGACCCGCUACAUAUCAGUUUUGAUGAAGAUUCCAACAAGAGAGACUUCCUACUUUGAAUUCCUCAACCCUUUGUCUCCGGUGGUGUGGAUCUGUACCAUGUGUGCCUUCGUCAUCGUCAGCGUCAUACUGUAUAUUCUUGAAAGGGUGGGCAGAAGCAAGGACACUCAGGAGGUGGAGAUCACAGUUAGAGAGUCCUUCUGGUUCAUAUUUGGUUCUCUCUUGCAAGGUAAUACAGAUUCCACGCCAACUACUAUACCAGGCCGAAUACUGACAAGUGCCUGGUGGUUCUUUGCACUCAUUCUCAUCUCAUCCUACACAGCUAAUUUGGCAGCUUUCUUGACGGUCAAGAAGAUAAACACACCAAUUAAAUCUGUCACAGAUCUUGCACAGCAGACGAAAAUUAAAUAUGGCACAGUAAAAGACAGUGGAAUUAUGUCCUUCUUUAAAAAUACAAACAUUGAACAUUUUGCCAAAAUGUGGGCCCAGAUGUCUGAAAUAGAGCCUGGGUCAAUGGUGGACAACACAACAGAAGGAUUCAAAAAGAUAAAAACUGAUGACUAUGCAUUUUUCUGGGACACAACAGUGAAUAAGUUCCAAACAUUGAUAGACUGUGAGGUCAUGGAAAUUGGACCCUAUUUUGACCCUAAAGGUUUUGGGAUUGGGGUCCCACCAGGAGCAACCUAUAAAGAAGAGUUGUCAAUGGCCAUUUUAAGACUAAGUGACAAAGGUCGUUUGCAUGAAUUAGAAGCCAAAUGGUGGUAUGGUGGUAACUGUCCAGACCUGUCCAAGGCUUCAGCUGAUGAAACUUCUUCUUUACAAAUAGAAAAUGUUGCUGGCGUCUUCUUUAUUUUAGUUGGAGGAAUCAUCUUUGCAGCUAUUGUCUGUAUGGGAGAGUAUUUUGCCAAUGCUAUGAUAAAAGCCUCUAGGCAGGCUUCAGGUAAGAAACGUGAUGAUAAAAAGAAAGAAACUUAUGCUGGAGCUGUCCAGGACCCAGCAGAAAAAGACAGUUUUCUGUAACAGAAUGCUGAGCUGCAUGUUGCAUGGUUGGUUGAUCCAUAAUGUCUUCUCUCAAUGUUUCUUAUUGGGCCUAUGGAAAGAAGAAGGAGAAUCAUAUAGGAGUUGAUGGACCCACAUAUUUAUAAUAAAACAACACCACAAUCUUAACUUGUCAAAGAGUGAUUUCUUACAGUUUAGGAAAAACAAAACAUUUAAAAAAUAUUUUCUUUCAAUUUACAGUUGAUGAAUUCCAAAAAGAAAUAUUUUUGUCGAGGUAGAUAUUUUUUUAAGUUGUAGUCAAUGAAGCUGAAAAGCUUUUUGUUGUCUUUCAAUUAAAUAAAGUGAAACCAAAUAAUUGAAAUGUUUCCUAACAUACAACUAUCACUAGUUUUAUAAACAGGUGUUAUUUUUCUGGAUAUCAUCAGCGACAUAUGUAAUGUAUAUAAGCCUCAUAAUAUAAUGCAAAGUCAUCUAGUUAUAGGGUAGAUUGUGCUGGGAAAUCAUGUGCAAUACAUUUGUAAAUUGUGUGACUUGUAUGUAAAUUAAGCUUAAUAAGUUCUUAAGGUUAUCAAUUUUAUAUUUCAUUGAAUAUCAAAAUUUGCUACUUGAUGUAAGCAAACAAAACAAUUUAACCAUGUUUUUUCUUUUAAGUCAACAAUCAUUGCUAUUUAUUACUGAAAAUUAAAACUUUCUUUUCUUAUUUUGAUUUAUCUCUUUGAGUUAGAAUAAAAGAAAUUGAGUUAUUUAUCACUUUUCAGUGACUUUAAUUUGUACACCAAAUCUAAUUGCACAUGAUGUAAAGAGCAUACAAUAUUAUAAUUAGAGCUUAUUAUAGUUUCUGUAAUUAAUGUUUUAUAUUAAUUUCAUAUAAAACAAAAGAUAUAUAUGUAUGCCAUCAAAAGUGCCUAAAUUUGAUUUUAGGUCUCUUUUAAUUACUAGAAUCAAGACCAUUCUUUAACAAAGUGACCUUUUGUCCAUUGCUAACCUAUUAAACUGAAAGAGAAAAAUUGAUAGGUCAUGUCCUUAGAAUGCAAAAAAAAACCAGACCUUUAGUUUCUCUUGGUAGGGAACUCAAAAGCAGUAUAUGUAUAUAAGAGGGCUUACAGUUAACAAGUAUUGAAUGAAGUGAAAUGGGGUAAAAAAAAGUUCUCUAAUGAGCCAAUGUAAGGACUUUAAACAUUAUAUUGGGAAGUGUUUUUAAUAAACUAAAGGGUUAGGGUUAAACUAAAAAUGUUAUCAUCACCCACAAAUAUUUUGAAUGUAAUAUUUUUUUUGUCUCUAACAUUGCAUACAUUCAAAGUAAACUGUCAAAGAUAAUCACAGCUACUCUUUGUUUACAGUGUCAUUUUUAUGAAUUUAAUUACAUUCUUAAAGAAAAACUUACAGUAUAAGAUGUUAAAACAUUUGAGUAAGCAGCAUGUGGAGAUAUAUAUGGAGAUAUUUAUGCAACAUGUGGAGAUAUAUAACGAGUUAUAUGGGAGAACAUAAUGGAACUUAAAGAAAAACUGAAGAAAAUGAAGAAAAGAGAGGGAGAUUUGGAAAUGAAAAGACAAAAUGGCCACUCUUGCAAACUCAAUAUAAACAUUUUAUGUGUGCUUCAAGUGGAAAAACUUUGAACUUUGUUUCUGUAAUACUAAAAAGUGAAAAUAUUUAUUACAUGAAUUUUAUACAAAGAUUAUUAAUAAUUUGUAAUAGCCAUGGACUAUAUAUACAUUUAAAUGUGUGCAGUCUUCACACAAUUAAAUUAGUGAAAGGAGAACAUAAUGAAAAUUUUUAGAUACAAAAAAAUGGUCUUCAAAAUUUGCAUUUUGUUAUCUAUAUGUAAAGUUACAGUGUUUGCAGUAUGGCUAAACUUAAAAACUCACUGUCACAUUUAACCAAGAUGUCAAAUGAGUAACUUAUUUGUUUGUGAUGGAGGUUCAGAGAAGACACCGAAACUAGGUGUUUUAAUUUUUAAAAAUAAAUUUAUGAAAGAUAAUGUGUAAUAUGAACAGAAACAGUAGCUUCAUCUAACACAAUAAUUGAAUGUAAUAAAAAUGUAUGUUUUGAAAAAUUAGAAAGUAUAUUCACACUUGAGCCAACACCAACUGACUGACUCAUGUACACUUUUAUAUAUUUAGCAAUCUUUAUGUUUCUGGAUGUUAAAGGAAUAAUUUACUAUUUUCUUAUCUUCUAUUUUAGUUUUGAACAUUUGGGUCUGGAAUUUUCUGAGCUCUUAAAGUCCUGCAUGUGAUAAGUUAGAGUCAUAGUUAAGUUUAAUGACUGGAAAUACUUUAUGAAAAUGAAACCAGCUGUGUAUAUAUAAAUGAGGCCUUUUCCAAUCUAUGUCAAUUAUGUUGUAAUAGUUUGCAAAAAUUAUACAAUUUGACAUUAUUCUUUAAUUUAAUGUUUUGUUUUCUUAUGCACAUUUUUGCUCUAUUUUAGUCAUUAACAAUUUGGAUCAAUAUUUGUACUUAAAUGUUUAUUUAUUUUUGAAAAAUUACAAAUUAUUUCUUCUAUGCUAAUGUAAUAUUAAUUAUUUUGUAAGAAUUUAUCUUUAAAAUUUGAUCAAAGUUUAUUUUUGUAAAUCAAUGACAUACAUUUUUUUAAUUCAUGCAUGGUAAAUUAUUUAAUUUUUGUAUGUCACUGCCUUAACUGUUAUUUUGCUUGUAUGUUUACUUUUUAUCCCAGUACAUAGUAAUUAUGAUGGUAACAAUGAUGUCUUAACAAAGUUGCCUGACAAAUGAGUAAACAUGUAUUUAUAAAAACUAUAACUGUUUUUGUUAGAUAAGCCAUUUAUUUUGCCCUUACUUUAACUCUUGGUUUAGUUAUUUAUAUAUUUUUUUUGGUUGUUACUCACAUUAUGUAUAGCAGAUAGUGUAAAUCUUUUUUUUCCACAAUCUGUCUUAUAUGACUUAUGGGUCAUGAUUGCUUUGGUUUAUCAAAUAUGAAUAUUAUUGUGAGUGCUUGGACAUAAAAUUGACAAGUGAUAGUAUCAGAAAUUUGGAAUGAGAAUGUAAGACUGUAAUGAAAUCUGUAAGCUAUGGAAGUACUUGCAAACUUUUGAAAAGAAAAAGUAGUAGGCACUUGAUUUGGCCACACUCUAUGCCAGUAAUAUUUUGGUCACAGUACUGAGUAGAUUCUUACUCCACCUGUCAAACCAGCCUAAAGUUUUCAAAAUAGUUUCAUGUGAAUGCUUUUUUCCACAAUUUGUAAGUACUCAUCAUUUCAUGUACAUAAUUAAUUUAUCAUCUCAAAAUCUUGUAUCUAUGUCUGUCAAUAUUUGAUAUUUUAUUCAAUUUAUUAGAUGUGCUUCAUUGAAAUGCACUUUUCAUAGAUCAUACAUAUAGGAACAAAAAAUUUUUAUAAAAAAGUUUCAAUACAGUAAAUAAUAGCCAGUUUAGGAUAAAUAAUGAGAGCAGAUGUCAGUGAGGAAUAAAUAAGAAAAGUAAUUUUUUUUUUUUUUUUUCAAUUUAACAUGUUUUUUUUUACCACAUAUUAACUUUGUUUCAUAUUUAUGAUUUUGUGAAGAGCUCAAAAAGAUUUUCAACAUUCAACUAUAAAAUUUUAUUUAAAAAUUUAAAUAUUUCUUACAUAAUACAGAAGUAGGCAACUAUUGUAAUAAGACAAGCAAUUGUAUAAAUAAUAAAUAGUAAAUAAGAAUUGUUUUUUAAAGGACUAAUAUCACUUCAAAGGUUUCUAUGAUUUAUUUCUGAAAACUUCAACAUCACAAAAUUUAACUUUACAAGAGGCAUUUUAAUUAAGGAAUUAUUUAGUAUAGUAUCAAAUGUUGCUGUUUUUUUUUCCUUUUAUAAUUAUAAUAUUUGGUUUUCUUUCUAGCAAAUUUAUACAAAAAUCAUAAACAGUUUUUUUUCAUUUGAAAAACUCAGUGCUAAUGUUGGCAUUGAAUGCAAAAUUGAUGAAUGCUGCCAAUUCAUAUGAACAAGUUUUGUAACAGAUUCUUGUUUCAACUAUUUAUAUAGACUUUAUUUGUUUUGAUGAAAUCAGUUUAUUUCUUUUAAAAUGUAAAUUGUUUUGUUUUUUUACUGACAUGUUGUUUAAAUUAUUUAACAAGACACUUUCAAGAGGACUGAAUGGUAUAACUAUCUUUUUUUUUUCAACAUACCUUCUUAUUUCAUUUACAAUAAAAAUAAUUUGAAUAAUAAAUAA